CCUACGGGAGGCAGCAGUGAGGAAUAUUGGUCAAUGGGCGCGAGCCUGAACCAGCCAAGCCGCGUGAGGGAUGAAGGUUCUAUGGAUCGUAAACCUCUUUUAUAAGGGAAUAAAGUGCGGGACGUGUCCUAUUUUGUAUGUACCUUAUGAAUAAGGAUCGGCUAACUCCGUGCCAGCAGCCCGGUAAUACGGAGGAUCCGAGCGUUAUCCGGAUUUAUUGGGUGUAAAGGGUGCGUAGGCGGCCUUUUAAGUCAGCGGUGAAAGUCUGUGGCUCAACCAUAGAAUUUCCGUUGAAACUGGGGGGCUUGAGUAUGUUUGAGGCAGGCGGAAUGCGUGGUGUAGCGGUGAAAUGCUUAGAUAUCACGCAGAACCCCGAUGGCGAAGGCAGCCUGCCAGGCCAUGACUGACGCUGAUGCACGAAAGCGUGGGGAGCAAACAGGAUUAGAUACCCUAGUAGUC
rnacentral:rRNA from 1 species